CCUACGGGAGGCAGCAGUGGGGAAUUUUCCGCAAUGGGCGAAAGCCUGACGGAGCAACGCCGCGUGGGUGAUGAAGUCUUUCGGGACGUAAAACCCUUUCAGCAGGGACGAAGCGAGUGACGGUACCUGCAGAAGAAGCAUCGGCUAACUACGUGCCAGCAGCCGCGGUAAUACGUAGGAUGCGAGCGUUGUCCGGAUUUAUUGGGCGUAAAGCGAACGUAGGCGGUUUCUUAAGUUUGGUCUUAAAGACCGGGGCUCAACCCCGGGAAUGGACUGAAUACUGGGAGACUAGAGGAUGUUAGAGGAAAGUGGAAUUCCAAGUGUAGCGGUGAAAUGCGUAGAUAUUUGGAGGAACACCAGUGGCGAAAGCGGCUUUCUGGGACAUUCCUGACGCUGAGGUUCGAAAGCUCGGGGAGCAAACAGGAUUAGAUACCCCUGUA
rnacentral:rRNA from 1 species